UGCCAGCCGCCGCGGUAAUACGGAGGGUGCAAGCGUUGUUCGGAAUUAUUGGGCGUAAAGCGCGUGUAGGCGGUUCGUUAGGUUAGGGGUGAAAUCCCGGGGCUCAACCCCGGAACUGCCUCUGAUACUGGCAGUCUAGAGGUCGAGAGAGGUGAGUGGAAUUCCGAGUGUAGAGGUGAAAUUCGUAGAUAUUCGGAGGAACACCAGUGGCGAAGGCGGCUCACUGGACCACAUCUGACGCUGAGGUGCGAAAGCUGGGGGAGCAAACAGGAUUAGAUA
rnacentral:rRNA from 1 species